GAACAAUCAAGCAUAAUGGCAAGAUCAAGCUUGGUGUCAGGCUGUAUGACUUGUAAUUCUGUGAAAUUAUAAAACUUGUGAACAAAAGGGAAUGAGAAAUAUGUAACUGUGGAAGAUUCUCAGGCUGAUGGAGUGAGUGACAGAGUGGGUUGCCAACUCGAGUGACUCCACUCAGCGUACACAGUGGCUACGGGGGAUAGAUUCAGACAUGCCCAAAGAAGUCUGCCCAGGGGGAGACUCAUACCUUUGAGGUUUAAAUCAGGUGUGUGAAGAAUGCUGGAAACAUGACUUUCUGGAGUUUGGUCUGGGUUGGUUUGGUUUUUUUGUUUUUGUUUUUCAAGGAAAGUGGGAAGCUUGGUGGCUCUUGCCUGUUCUUCCAACUCUUUCAGAGCCAUAAAAUACUUCCAAAGUGUAAUGUACUCUCUCUCCUAGGGUUUGGUCUACUCUAUUCCACUGCUUGAAAGGGUCAUCCUAUAUUUUUAUCAAAACUUUAGGUGUUUAAAGACAUGAUGUGGUUUUUCAUAUGCAAAAAGAGUUUUGAUUUUGGAGACAUUUUUAAAUUGGGGAUUGAGGUAUACUGAUCUGUCUCUUACCAUGUGUCUAUUUCCUUAGAAAAAAUAAGUACAAUUUGUCAUACACAAGUUAGCUACCACAUACCUGAAGAAAUUAUGUGCAGAUUAUCUUUAAAAGUAGGUGUUGACGUUAUCUUUAAAAAGUUGUUAAAUAGCUCCAAAAUAUUGAGCAAAUGUAAUGUUUCUUUUGAAAAUACAACCCACAUUUCCUUGCAGGAUGAAGUUAUGCUUAAUAGCCUCUGUUUAAUUCAUUCAGAAACUACACGAUUCUUGUUGCUAUAUUUUGUUAAAAAGGAAGGAGAGGCUGUUUCUACAGGUGUUACAGAAAAAUCAAUACUGAGCCACGGAUUAUUGGAUCCCAUAGAACCAUGGAGACUUGGCAGUGAAAUUCUUCCAAAGUUUCUCCUAGAUUUCAAAAAGUUGAAAAGCUAUACAUAA
rnacentral:lncRNA from 1 species